AGAAAGAGGAGAAGAGAAGGGAGGAGAGAGAGGAGAGAGGAGAGAGAGGAGAGGAGAGAGAGGAGAGAGGGCAGAAAAGAGAGGGAAGCCCUAGGUGGAUAAGAGCACAUGGAUAAUCUACAUAUCCUGGAGGAAUAAGGAGGCCCUCUUGAGCAUAUGGUGUAAUCAAAGACUGUUUAUUUAAAGCAGCUGGACCAGUCUGGGGGACCAGUCUGUCUGGGGGACCAGUCUGGGGGACCAGUCUGGAUAGCUAGUCUGGCAGUUCCCACUUUAGAACUGGACCAUGCUGCAACAGACUGUUGUCAGCUUCCCAAGACUUGAAUACAGGUCUGGUAUACAGUAAAUCACAUCCUAAACAAUUAGGACAGAUAUUAUAUAAACAAAUGUGUUGUUGUUGUUGUUAUGUAAGGAUACAAUAUGCCUUAAACAGUUACACAGUCACUGUAAAUUGUGUAUACAUGUGCUAAACAUAUAGCUCUGCUGAGCCAACAAGCCAAGUUCAUCCUGUAGCAUCACCUGAGUUGCUAAUGCUGCUACCGUUUCCACCUGCCCCGCCCCACAUCCUUCCCAGAGGCUCCUCCCUCUCCUCCCGCUGAGGUCUGAGUGGAUUAGACAGGGUUAGCAAGGCAAUUCAAACCAGCCAAUCAGAGGCCAAGAUGGAACCAGUACUGAAAGUGGUAAACAGUGGUUUUGGUCAUGAACACAUACAUGAGAGCACAAACAGAUCAGAAACAGGGUGUAUCACAGACAGGUUUUUUAUCGAUGGAGUGUGUUCUGACGGUCAUGAUAAUAUAGAUGUACUGUACAUGUUCUGGAUAAGGAUUACCAGGAACAGGUUAAUCCCAGAACAUAUGUCCUGUUGAGUAGAGUGCCCACUCAGAACAUCAUGACAAAAGACUGAGAAAGAGGCUGAGAAGGAGAGGAAGAAAGAUAGAAAGGAAGAGUUAGAGAAGAGAGAACUAGAUAGGGAGGGUAAUAGAGGAAGAUCAGAAUUGAGAUAGAAACGGGGAAAAUCUAGAACAAGUGCAAUGAAAUAGUCACGUCUUAUGAAUCAGUAAUGACCAAUGCAGUGCAUCCCUUUGUGUCGGACAAGGUUGUCAGAAAGCACAUUCAGCUGGUGUCACAGGCUAGUCUCAAAAAUGAAGAAGCACUGCUGAGAAUCUGCACUUCCGGUACUUAGAACUGUAAGUUUGAUCUGAGUUUGUGAAGACAAGGGGAGUCUAAUAGUAAUAAUAUCCCCUGGCCUGCAUCCCCUGUGAGUGCCUGCCUGGAGGAGGAGUAGGGAUCCCUGUGGAGGGACGCCUCCGGGGCCAAGAGGAGCACACGUAAGAACAGGUACCAGAGACCUGGAGGGAGAUAUACUCUGUAUACCUGCCCCAUAGCAACCUGUACAUUUUAUAACGACUGAUGGCGUUGAAAUAUAUUAAUAUAUCUAAUGACAAAUAUAAAUGAGAGUAUAUCAUAGAAAUGCGUUUACAGAUAUUUAACAACAUUUGACCAUGUUAAAGAUAUACACAAGUAGUGACUAACAUACACACACACAUUUGCCCCCAAAAACAGAGGAAUCUGAGUUGACUGUAAAUUGAUCAAGUGGAUGAGCAUUGAAUAUCUGUUGACAAUUGUAGGUGGUUUGUGUGUAUAUUUCCUAAUAUGGUGUUUUAUAGCUGUCCCAGUCUAACCAGUAUGCUGCACUGAGGGUUCUGGAGGUGCUACUGAAUGUCUGUGUGCAAUAAUACAGGAGAUGUCUGGUAGUUUUAUAGCUUAUGAACAUAUGGAUGAGUGCAUGUCAUAUUAAUACUGUAUGCACAACUGUGACUUACUGCAGCGUACUGGGUGAAUGUAAAACAUUUUAUAACGUGUAUUGAGGAGAAAAUCCCGAAGGGACUAGUGUAGCGUCAGAAGUGAAGGUUAGGGUCGGAAUCGGAUGAAAGUGGAGAUCACAUUCAGUGUCUAACUUCAAAAGGAACACAACAUGUCUGGUGCUCCAGUUUGAGAUCCUUCUCUCUGACUGAAGAACAGCAGAAUGUUCUCACAUUUCACACCUCGCAGUCUCCCCAGGUUCUCCCUGCCCCACACUGCAUUAGCACUAACAUUCCUGUUGUUUUCCGCUUCUGACAACACAGAAGUAUGCUUUGAAGCAGAGGAGGAAAUUACACAGGAAAGGGACUCAGUGCUCUAAGUGUGCUUAUUCCAUCUUUAAUACCCUUUCAGCCAAUGAUAGGACUAGAAAAAAACAGCAGCACAGCGGAGAAAGUUGAAGACAAAGUAUAUCAGAGCAGUCUGUCUGUCUCCCUCUAAAGAGCACACACAAGCAAGCAGACAGAGAGACAGACAGGUGGAAGCCUUGUGAUCAGAUGGAGAGGAGGCAGACAGAGAGACAGACAGGUGGAAGCCUCGUGGUCAGGUGGAGAGGAGGCAGACAGAGAGACAGGUGGAAGCCUCGUGAUCAGAUGGAGAGGAGGCAGACAGAGAGACAGGUGGAAGCCUCGUGGUCAGAUGGAGAGGAGGCAGACAGAGAGACAGGUGGAAGCCUUGUGGUCAGGUGGAGAGGAGGCAGACAGAGAGACAGACAGGUGGAAGCCUCGUGGUCAGAUGGAGAGGAGGCAGACAGAGAGACAGACAGGUGGAAGCCUCGUGAUCAGAUGGAGAGGAGGCAGACAGAGAGACAGACAGGUGGAAGCCUCGUGAUCAGAUGGAGAGGAGGCAGACAGAGAGACAGGUGGAAGCCUCGUGAUCAGAUGGAGAGGAGGCAGACAGAGAGACAGGUGGAAGCCUCGUGAUCAGAUGGAGAGGAGGCAGACAGAGAGACAGGUGGAAGCCUCGUGAUCAGAUGGAGAGGAGGCAGACAGAGAGACAGGUGGAAGCCUUGUGGUCAGGUGGAGAGGAGGCAGACAGAGAGACAGACAGGUGGAAGCCUCGUGGUCAGAUGGAGAGGAGGCAGACAGAGAGACAGACAGGUGGAAGCCUCGUGAUCAGAUGGAGAGGAGGCAGACAGAGAGACAGACAGGUGGAAGCCUCGUGAUCAGAUGGAGAGGAGGCAGACAGAGAGACAGGUGGAAGCCUCGUGAUCAGAUGGAGAGGAGGCAGACAGAGAGACAGGUGGAAGCCUCGUGAUCAGAUGGAGAGGAGGCAGACAGAGAGACAGGUGGAAGCCUCGUGAUCAGAUGGAGAGGAGGCAGACAGAGAGACAGACAGGUGGAAGCCUUGUGGUCAGAUGGAGAGGAGGCAGACAGAGAGACAGACAGGUGGAAGCCUCGUGAUCAGAUGGAGAGGAGGCAGACAGAGAGACAGACAGGUGGAAGCCUCGUGGUCAGAUGGAGAGGAGGCAGACAGAGAGACAGACAGGUGGAAGCCUCGUGGUCAGGUGGAGGUUAGGCAGACAGAGGUGAAGGGUCUGAUGCCUCGUACAUGUAAAUACGAAAGUUGUAUAAUGUGAUUUUUAAAAAUCAUUAUAACGUGACCAAUAAAUUUUAUGUUGCUGUUGUUUAUAA